rnacentral:rRNA from 1 species
GUUGUUGAAGUUGUAACUAUUAAGUUUUUUCAGACGCUGAUUGCAACUGCAAAGGGUUUGAAUGUUGUCCAACCGGCGGGCGGACCCGCCGAGGAAACGAAGGUACUCAAAAGACAUGGGUAAGAGGUAGCAGACCGAAGUCCACAAACUCUAGGUAAUGAUCCUUCCGCAGGUUCACCUACGGAAUCGAAUUCCCGCUGCCAAC